rnacentral:rRNA from 1 species
AGCGAACGCUGGCGGCAGGCCUAAUACAUGCAAGUCGAACGGCUCUUCGGAGCAGUGGCGGACGGGUGAGUAACGCGUGGGAACGUGCCCUUUGGUUCGGAACAACACAGGGAAACUUGUGCUAAUACCGGAUGAGCCCUUCGGGGGAAAGAUUUAUCGCCAUUGGAGCGGCCCGCGUUGGAUUAGCUAGUUGGUGGGGUAAUGGCCCACCAAGGCGACGAUCCAUAGCUGGUCUGAGAGGAUGAUCAGCCACACUGGGACUGAGACACGGCCCAGACUCCUACGGGAGGCAGCAGUGGGGAAUAUUGGACAAUGGGCGAAAGCCUGAUCCAGCAAUGCCGCGUGAGUGAUGAAGGCCUUAGGGUUGUAAAGCUCUUUUACCCGGGACGAUAAUGACAGUACCGGGAGAAUAAGCCCCGGCUAACUCCGUGCCAGCCGCCGCAGUAA